GACGAACGCUGGCGGCGCGCCUAACACAUGCAAGUCGAACGGAGUCAAGAGGAGCUUGCUUUUCUUGACUUAGUGGCGAACGGGUGAGUAACGCGUGAGUAACCUGCCCUGGAGUGGGGGACAACAGUUGGAAACGACUGCUAAUACCGCAUAAGCCCACGGAUCUGCAUGGAUCUGCGGGAAAAGGAUUUAUUCGCUCUAGGAUGGACUCGCGUCCAAUUAGCUAGUUGGUGAGGUAACGGCCCACCAAGGCGACGAUUGGUAGCCGGACUGAGAGGUUGAACGGCCACAUUGGGACUGAGACACGGCCCAGACUCCUACGGGAGGCAGCAGUGGGGGAUAUUGCACAAUGGGGGAAACCCUGAUGCAGCGACGCCGUGUGGAGGAAGAAGGUUUUCGGAUUGUAAACUCCUGUCGUUAGGGACGAUAAUGACGGUACCUAACAAGAAAGCACCGGCUAACUACGUG
rnacentral:rRNA from 1 species